UGCCUGGUAGUGUAACGGUAGCACGACUGACUCUGACUCAGUUAGUCAAGGUUCGAAUCCUUGCCGGGCAA
rnacentral:tRNA from 1 species